CAUGAUAUAAAUAUUUAUUUUUUUAAGCAUCAAACUGUAAGAAUGUAGUUUCACUUUCUCUCCACAGAGAGGCGCUUUUGUGCUGGUGUUGUUGUUGACUCCAAAUGUUCUCAGUUUUUCAGAGGACCAGAAGUUUAUAAGGAUGCUGAGGUGUGGACAUUUUCCUUUGUAAACACAAUGACAAACAUUCAUUUAAAUUAGUUUUUCUCUUGUUUUAUUUCUGUUUAGUGUUUUUGUCAGGAGGUCUCGGUUUCUCUGGAGGUCACCUGGCUUCCAUCACAAGCCCGUCCGUCCACCGUGAGGUGUUGAAGCUGAUCCUGGAACAAAAUGGAUCGUACACUCGCGUCUGGGUUGGAGGUUAUCGAUUGGAUGUAUGCGGCUUAAACUUUGAGGAUUUUUAGUUUCUUCAAUUAAACUAAUUUGUUGUUUUUAUUGCUACAAAAAUGAUUCCUGUCCUUACCUUCUUUCAAUGUUUUGUUGGUUUCCAGAGGAACCACUUCAUCUGGAUGGAUGAAUCCAUUUGGAGCUAUGCUGACUGGAAAAUAUAGCUUUUAUUAGACAGACCUGUUUUGGAUCCAUUUAAAAAAAAUAGUUUUGAGCAAAAUCAUAAAAAAACUGAUAGUAGAAAAGUGAUUCCACUAGAUGGCAGUAGCAUCAAUGUUGUGUGUCAGAUACAAGAAAAGCCUUACAGUAUUUAACCAUUGAACACUUCAUUGACUGUUAAACUCUGAAUUAUCUUCAGGUGCACAGAGAGAGCAGCUGCUGGACCUGGACCUGGACCUGGACCUGGACCUGGACCUGAAUCUACCCCAGAGUCCAGCACCCACCUGGCAGAACAAAACCCGGUUCAGGGAAAACACUGCAAAAGAAGCAGCGAGUGACGGGAAGAGACGGCAGCUCAUCGUACCUGUCAGAGCGGCUCCCUGCUUCACCUGAGCUCAGGAAUCCAGAUGGAGGAUUCCCCUCCAGCUCGCCACCUUUGAAACAACAAAAAAGACAAAAACAAGCAUUUAUCAAAGCGUUGAAGGGAAAUUUGAUGAUAAUGUUGGAAGGAUUUCUGCAAAUGAUGCUACAUUUGGGCGUUUGGUCACUGAUAGAACAACAAUUCUAAGAUUUUUAGAAGAGAAAUCAACAAACAGUUUUUAAUUUAUGGAUUUCAUCUGAUAAUGUCCAGUUCUAUUAUCUCACAAUAAAACUAGUUUGCUUCAAAAUUAAGAUCUUUAUAGUUUGUUUUUCAAAUUAUUGUUGGUAUAGCCGGAUGUAAACACAUCUUCAUGGAUCUCCUAAACCUGCUUAGUCCUGUUCAGGGUUGCUGGAGCCUAUCCACUACUGUUGGACAUCCUUCAUCAGUCCAUCACACACAUUUAAAUUCCCACCAAAGAGACAAUUUUGAUCUACCGACUAACCUAUUACUGGGACUGUAAGGAAGCCGGAAUUCCCGGAGAAAACCCACGGAUGAAGGAGGAGAACUCCACAAACCCAGCUGGGAUUUGAACCGGGAGCUUCUCACUGUGAGCUGCAGUGUGAACCACUACCCCGCUGUAAACGUCUCCUUUUCUGCCACCAGGAAGUUCAAAAUAUAUUUAUUAGAUCGUGUUUAGUUUGUUACCAGAGCCAAAUUUU
ensembl:lncRNA